rnacentral:misc_RNA from 1 species
GAUGAAGAACGCAGCGAAAUGCGAUAAGUAAUGUGAAUUGCAGAAUUCAGUGAAUCAUCGAAUCUUUGAACGCACAUUGCGCCCGCCAGUAUUCUGGCGGGCAUGCCUGUUCGAGCGUCAUUACAACCCUCAGGCCCCCGGGCCUGGCGUUGGGGAUCGGCGGAGCCGCCCGUGGGCACACGCCGUCCCCCAAAUGCAGUGGCGGUCCCGCCGCAGCUUCCAUCGCGUAGUAGCUAACACCUCGCGACUGGAGAGCGGCGCGGCCACGCCGUAAAACACCCAACUCUUCUGAAGUUGACCUCGAAUCAGGUAGGAAUACCCGCUGAACUUAAGCAUAUCAAUAAGCGGAGGA